AACAUCUCAAGGCCAUGAGAAGAUAUUUGUUGCUAGGGCAGGGAGAUUUCAUUCGUCACCUCAUGGAUUUGCUCGAAGAAGACCUGGCCAAACCAGCUGGCAAUCUGUAUCUUCACAAUCUCUCU
rnacentral:sRNA from 1 species